rnacentral:rRNA from 1 species
GAUGAACGCUGGCGGCGUGCCUAAUACAUGCAAGUCGAGCGAACAGACGAGGAGCUUGCUCCUCUGACGUUAGCGGCGGACGGGUGAGUAACACGUGGAUAACCUACCUAUAAGACUGGGAUAACUUCGGGAAACCGGAGCUAAUACCGGAUAAUAUAUUGAACAGCAUGGUUCAAUAGUGAAAGACGGUUUUGCUGUCACUUAUACAUUGAUCCGCGCCACAUUAGCUAGUUGGUAAGGUAACGGCUUAUCAAGGCAACGAUGCGUAGCCGACCUGAGAGGGUGAUCGGCCACACUGGGACUGUGACACGGUCCAGACUCUUACGGGAGGCAGCAGUAGGGAAUCUUCCGCAAUGGGCGAAAGCUUGACGGAGCAACGCCGCGUGAGUGAUGAAGGUCUUCGGAUCGUAAAACUCUGUUAUUAGGGAAGAACAAAUGUGGAAGUAACUAUGCACGUCUUGACGGUACCUAAUCAGAAAGCUACGGCUAACUACGUG